rfam:Papilio machaon contig68414, whole genome shotgun sequence.
CCUUCGAUAGCUCAGUUGGUAGAGCGGUGGACUGUAGAGGACUUUCACUGACAUCCAUAGGUCGCUGGUUCAAAUCCGGCUCGAAGGA